rnacentral:rRNA from 1 species
UACGGAGGAUGCGAGCGUUAUCCGGAUUUAUUGGGUUUAAAGGGUGCGUAGGCGGACGCUUAAGUCAGCGGUAAAAUUGCGGGGCUCAACCUCGUCGAGCCGUUGAAACUGGGUGUCUUGAGUGGGCGAGAAGUACGCAGAAUGCGUGGUGUAGCGGUGAAAUGCAUAGAUAUCACGCAGAACUCCGAUUGCGAAGGCAGCGUACCGGCGCCCAACUGACGCUGAAGCACGAAGGCGUGGGUAUCGAACAGG